rnacentral:rRNA from 1 species
CCUACGGGUGGCAGCAGUAGGGAAUAUUGCUCAAUGGGGGAAACCCUGAAGCAGCAACGCCGCGUGAAGGAUGAAGGCUUUCGGUUUGUAAACUUCUUUUGUUAGAGAAGUAAAUGACGGUAUCUAACGAAUAAGCACCGGCUAACUCCGUGCCAGAAGCCGCGGUAAUACGCAGGGUGCAAGCGUUAUUCGGAAUUACUGGGCGUAAAGGGGGCGUAGGCGGGUUAGCAAGUCAGAUGUGAAAUCCUGUGGCUUAACCAUAAAACUGCAUUUGAGACUGUUAUUCUAGAGUAUGGUAGAGGUAGGCGGAAUUCUUGGUGUAGCGGUGAAAUGCGUAGAUAUCAAGAGGAAUACUGAUUGCGAAGGCGGCCUGCUAGAACGUAACUGACGCUGAUGCGCGAAAGCGUGGGGAGCAAACAGGAUUAGAUACCCCAGUAGUC